ACACUAAAAAAAUCCUUGACUGAGUGCUUGAUAUAUAUUUGGGACUCUAUGAAAACAGCCUAAAGGAGCCUCAGAAAAGGGAGUAACUACAUCAAGAGGGUCAAUAAAACUGGGAAAGGAGGCUGUUGUCAUCUCCAUGGCAACAUCUGGCCCAGCAAAGACCCCAUUAUGAGGGAGCCUCGUGGUGAGCCCUUCCCCGAUAGCUCAGUUAAGAGUCCGCCUGCAAUGCAGGAGACCCUGGUUUGAUUCCUGGGUCAGGAAGAUCCGCUGGAGAAGGGAUAGGCUACCCACUCCAGUAUUCUUGGGCUUCCCUGGUGGCUCAGCUGGUAAAGAAUCUGCCUGCAAUGUAGGCAAUCUUGGUUCUGAGUUCAAUGCCUGGGUUGGGAAGAUCCCCCGGAGAAGGGAAAGGCUACCCACUCCAAUAUUCUAGGCCUGGAGGAUUCCAUGGACUGUAUAGGCCAUGGGGUCACAAAGAGUCUGACACGACUGAGCCACUUUCACUUCACAUCGUGAGCCCUAGAAGGUUAAGUGGAGAUUCAGCACGUGAGCUGAGGGGCCGGCACCCCUCGCGGCAGCAACAAGGGUCUACUGAAUGGCUUCCCAGGAUGAACUGCUUGAGGCCACGUUACCAAGUUGAUGCCAAGGACAAAGGAGCCCUACAAGGAGCUUCUACCAAGCCACCACCCCUCCGACCAGGUCUUCUGAAAAACGAGGUGCGGCUGGGAAGGAGAAACGCAGAGGCAGAGGAAGAAAGAAAAUGUGCCUCCAUCCGUCUCCGUCUUCAGUCCAGGCAGCCAUCAGGAGCACGUGAAGGAUUCCACAUGGAGGUCUGUCUGUCACAUCUGCUGCAGCUUUGCCCGCCCUCUGCUCCUGCCCUGAGACACAUUCAAACAGCUCUAUUGCUUCACAGAGAAAGAUGGAGACCACCCAAAGCUGCCCUUCGCUCUCGUGUGAAAUCACUGCAGUGA
rnacentral:lncRNA from 1 species